UGGGGAAUAUUGCACAAUGGGCGAAAGCCUGAUGCAGCGACGCCGCGUGAGGGAUGACGGCCUUCGGGUUGUAAACCUCUUUCAGCAGGGACGAAGCGCAAGUGACGGUACCUGCAGAAGAAGCACCGGCUAACUACGUGCCAGCAGCCGCGGUAAUACGUAGGGUGCAAGCGUUGUCCGGAAUUACUGGGCGUAAAGAGUUCGUAGGCGGUUUGUCGCGUCGUUUGUGAAAACCAGCAGCUCAACUGCUGGCUUGCAGGCGAUACGGGCAGACUGGAGUACUGCAGGAGAGACUGGAAUUCCUGGUGUAGCGGUGAAAUGCGCAGAUAUCAGGAGGAACACCGGUGGCGAAGGCGGGUCUCUGGGCAGUAACUGACGCUGAGGAACGAAAGCGUGGGUAGCGAACAGG
rnacentral:rRNA from 1 species